rnacentral:rRNA from 1 species
CCUACCCUUGACAUGUCAGGAAGUCCGCAGAGAUGUGGAUGUGCUCGAAAGAGAACCUGAACACAGGUGCUGCAUGGCUGUCGUCAGCUCGUGUCGUGAGAUGUUGGGUUAAGUCCCGCAACGAGCGCAACCCUUGUCAUUAGUUGCUACGAAAGGGCACUCUAAUGAGACUGCCGGUGACAAACCGGAGGAAAGUGGGGAUGACGUCAAGUCCUCAUGGCCCUUAUGGGUAGGGCUUCACACGUCAUACAAUGGUCGGUACAAAGGGCUGCCAACCCGCGAGGGGGAGCUAAUCCUUUAAAACCGAUCGUAGUCCGGAUUGUAGUCUGCAACUCGACUGCAUGAAGUCGGAAUCGCUAGUAAUCGCGGACCAAAAUGUCGCGGUGAAUACGUUCCCGGGUCUUGUACACACGCAAUC